GGUGCUAUAGUGUAGUGGUUAUCACUCGGGAUUUUGACCUCUCAAAUCUUCCCGAAACCCAGGUUCGAACCCUGGUAGCACCU
rnacentral:tRNA from 1 species